rnacentral:misc_RNA from 1 species
UCCGGUUUGUCACCGGCAGUCCCAUUAGAGUGCUCGUCCGAAACGUAGCAACUAAUGGCAAGGGUUGCGCUCGUUGCGGGACUUAACCCAACAUCUCACGACACGAGCUGACGACAGCCAUGCAGCACCUGUGUUGAGGCUCCCUUUCGGGCACCCUCCCAUCUCUGAGAGGUUCCUCACAUGUCAAGGGUAGGUAAGGUUUUUCGCGUUGCAUCGAAUUAAUCCACAUAAUCCACCGCUUGUGCGGGUCCCCGUCAAUUCCUUUGAGUUUUAACCUUGCGGCCGUACUCCCCAGGCGGUCAACUUCACGCGUUAGCUUCGUUACCAAGGAAUUGCUUCCCCGACAACCAGUUGACAUAGUUUAGGGCGUGGACUAC